rnacentral:tRNA from 1 species
GCCACGUUCGUCUAGCGGCCUAGGACGUCGCCCUCUCACGGCGGUAACACCGGUUCAAAUCCGGUACGGGGUA